CCUACGGGUUGCACCAGUGGGGAAUAUUGCACAAUGGGCGCAAGCCUGAUGCAGCCAUGCCGCGUGUAUGAAGAAGACCUUCGGGUUGUAAAGUACUUUCAGCGGGGAGGAAGGUGUUGUGGUUAAUAACCGCAGCACUUGACGUUACCCGCAGAAGAAGCACCGGCUAACUCCGUGCCAGCAGCCGCGGUAAUACGGAGGGUGCAAGCGUUAAUCGGAAUUACUGGGCGUAAAGCGCACGCAGGCGGUCUGUCAAGUCGGAUGUGAAAUCCCCGGGCUCAUCCUGGGAACUGCAUUGGAAACUGGCAGGCUAGAGUCUUGUAGAGGGGGGUAGAAUUCCAGGUGUCGCGGUGAAAUGCGUAGAGAUCUGGAGGAAUACCGGUGGCGAAGGCGGCCCCCUGGACAAAGACUGACGCUCAGGUGCGAAAGCGUGGGGAAGAAACAGGAUUAGAUACCCGAGUAGUC
rnacentral:rRNA from 1 species